GUGUCAGCAGCCGCGGUAAGACGUAUGGGGCGAGCGUUGUUCGGAAUUAUUGGGCGUAAAGGGCGUCUAGGCGGGGAAUUAAGUUAGGUGUGAAAGCCAUGAGCUUAACUCAUGAAUUGCAUCUAAAACUGGUUCUCUUGAGUUCGGGAGAGGAGAGCGGAAUUCCCGGUGUAGCGGUGAAAUGCGUAGAUAUCGGGAAGAACACCAGUGGCGAAGGCGGCUCUCUGGCCUAGAACUGACGCUGAAGCGCGAAAGCGUGGGGAGCGAACGGGAUUAGAUACCCCGGUAGUCCACGCUGUAAACGUUGUGUACUAGGUGUUAGCGGCUUGCCCGCUAGUGCCGUAGUUAACGCAUUAAGUACACCGCCUGGGGAGUACGCCCGCAAGGGUGAA
rnacentral:rRNA from 1 species